AUAUAAAAGGUUAUUUUUAAUAAAAUUAUUUUUAUUUUUAAAAUAAUAAAAUUAUAUUUUAGUAUUAGAUAAGAAAAAAAUAUUUUAAUUAUAGUUUAAUAGUAUUGUGAAAGAAUUUUUUAAUAUAAUAAAAAGAAAAAUUAUUUUUUUGUACCUUGUGUAUCAGGGCUUAUUAAUUAAAAUUAUAAAUAUAUAAAUUUCUCGAAUUUAAAAGAGUUAAUUUAAUAUUUUUUUUAUUGUAAAAUAAAUAUUUUUAAUAUUAAAUUAGUAAUGAAAUGUUAAACGUUUUUAAAUAUAUCUAGUUUUUAAAGAAAAAAAUUUAAUUUUAUUAUUAUAAAUAUAAAAUUAAAUAUUUAAUUUUUAUAUUAAUAAUAUUAUAUAUUUUUAGGGAUGAGCUUAAAAAUAGAAAUUCUUAAAAUAAUAUUAUAUAUUUUUAGAUUUAUAGAAUUAGAAAUUUUUAUUAAAAAAGUUUGUUAUAAUUUAUUUAAAAUAGAAAAUAAUUUAUAUUAAUUUUAGAAUAUUAUAUUUAAAUUUAGUUAUAAAUUUUUUAUAAUUAGGAAUAAUGAUUAAAUUAGUAUAAAUUAUUUUAAAAUUAAAAUUUAAUAAGAGAUUAAUUAAAGGAAUUCGGCAAAGAAUUUUUCCACCUGUUUAUUAAAAACAUGUCCUUUUGUUAAAAAUUUAAGGUCUAGCCUGCCCACUGAAAUUUUAAAUGGCCGCGGUAUUUUGACCGUGCAAAGGUAGCAUAAUCAUUAGUUUUUUAAUUGGAAGCUGGUAUGAAUGGUUGUAUGAGAAAAAAUCUGUCUCUAGUUAAUUAUUUAGAAUUUUAUUUUUAAGUUAAAAAGCUUAAAUUUAUUUAAAAGACGAGAAGACCCUAUAGAGUUUUAUAAAAAUUAUUAUUUUGAUUUUUAGAAUUUAAAUUUAGAUUAAUAAUUUUUAUUUGAUUGGGGUGAUUGAAAAAUUUAUUAAACUUUUUUUAAUUUAAAAACAUUAAUUUAUGAAUAGUUGAUCCUUUAAAAAGAUUAAAAGAUAAAAUUACCUUAGGGAUAACAGCGUAAUUUUUUUUGAGAGUUCUAAUCGAAAAAAAAGAUUGCGACCUCGAUGUUGGAUUAAAAUUAAUUUUUGGUGUAGAAGCUAAAAAAUUAAGUCUGUUCGACUUUUAAAAUUUUACAUGAUCUGAGUUUAAACCGGUGUGAGCCAGGUUGGUUUCUAUCUUUAAAAAUUAAAAAUAUUUUAGUACGAAAGGACCAAAUAUUUAAUUAAUAAUUUUAACUUUGAAUAUUAAU
rnacentral:rRNA from 1 species